UACGUAGGGUGCAAGCGUUGUCCGGAAUUAUUGGGCGUAAAGAGCUCGUAGGCGGUUUGUCGCGUCUGCUGUGAAAUCCCGAGGCUCAACCUCGGGCCUGCAGUGGGUACGGGCAGACUAGAGUGCGGUAGGGGAGAUUGGAAUUCCUGGUGUAGCGGUGGAAUGUGCAGAUAUCAGGAGGAACACCAAUGGCGAAGGCAGAUCUCUGGGCCGUAACUGACGCUGAGGAGCGAAAGCAUGGGGAGCGAACAGG
rnacentral:rRNA from 1 species